rnacentral:rRNA from 1 species
GAUGAACGCUGGCGGCGUACCUAACGCAUGCAAGUCGAACGGGGAAUUUGUAGCAAUACGAAUUUCGAGUGGCAAACGGGUGAGUAACACGUAGGGAUCUACCUUGAAGUGGGGAACAACGGACCGAAAGGUUCGCUAAUACCGCAUGGGGUCGUUCACGAACGCAAGUUCGUGCGACCAAAGGGGAAUUCUAACGAAUUCUUCGCUUUGAGAGGAGCCUGCGUUCGAUCAGGUAGUUGGUGAGGUAACGGCNCACCAAGCCGAUGACCGAUAGCUGUUCUGAGAGGAAGAUCAGCCACACUGGGACUGUGACACGGCCCAGACUCCUACGGGAGCAGCAGCGAGGAAUAUUGCACAAUGGAGGAAACUCUGAUGCAGUAACGCCGCGUGGGGGAAGAAG